UUUAAUAUUACACAGAACCAUCUCCAUUGCACCCUGUGACAACCAAGGGAGCUGUGCCACUGACCAGGCCCCGGAGCUGUAACCACUGACCGGGACGCGGCAACCUGCUGAGAUUAAAAGUCACUUUUACGGGGGUGCCUGGUGAUGCCUUGAGCAAGGACAUGGGUGACGGAGACCCAGGCGGUUGUUCAGCCAGGCUCGGGGGCCGGAUUUGGGUGUGCUGGAGAACACAGGCGCUUUUCAAGGCUCGAGACAUUAUACAGGGUGGGAAAAAGGCUUUUCUGCUCUUCUCUCCCUGAUGAUUAUCUCAGAAAGCAUUAAAAGUUGUCUGGUCCUACAUCCAAUAUUGUUACCCGAAAGCAAAAUCAAAGACAUCCCUUCCUUCUUAUGAAGAGCUGGCUCCUCUCCAUGGUCUUCAGGGCCUACAUUUUGAAGGCCAAGCUUCCCAAGAUUUCUAAAUAUGGUCCCUAAGAGGCUUUUGGAGAAGAUCCAUUGGAUUAUGCUGGGGACCUGAAGAGAUUCAUACAAGAACAAAAUUUUUUAGAAGUACAAAUGAAAAGUAAGUGACAGAGUGUGAGGAAUAUACAUUGCUAAUUCCUGUUUUAAUGAACUUUAUGGUCUCAUUCCUGCACUAAGCACCUCCAGUCAAAGCAGCCAACUUAAGGCAAUGCCAGGCUUACAACUGAAUCUCAUACAGUUUUUUCUGCUGAUUCUCUCCAUUGCACAUUCUACACAGACCGUGCUCGUUGAACAAAGCAAGGGGUUUAAGGGCUGUCUUUGAUAGCUCACCAACAUUUUGCCUGCCACAAAAGAGAACCAACAAUAAUAACCUGGGGGAGGAGAGGGAGAAGGACUAUGUGAAAGUCUUGAAAUCGUGCCUGUGUGGCUGAACAGGGAAUAAAGCUGAAGAAGCAGCUGCAGGAGGGAAGACAAAUGGAGGACAAGAGGAUAGAGCCACAGAAGCGGCGGGGUCAGAAGGAAGAGGACGGACCAACAGGAGAGGGGCUAAGGGGUGAGAUGCACAACAGCAGCGUGCAUGGCACAGCUGGAGCCAAAGCCAAGCCUGGCUUUGAUGCUCCGGGGUCAAAAGAACCUCUCUUUUGAAGUGUCACUUUGCUGGGGUUCAAACUUCGAAGUGUCUCUUUUGUUAUCAGGGUUUUGAGUUGAAAUAA